GACGAACGCUGGCGGCGUGCCUAAUACAUGCAAGUCGAGCGCAGGAAAUCGACGGAACCCUUCGGGGGGAAGUCGACGGAAUGAGCGGCGGACGGGUGAGUAACACGUAAAGAACCUGCCCUCAGGUCUGGGAUAACCACGAGAAAUCGGGGCUAAUACCGGAUGGGUCAUCGGACCGCAUGGUCCGAGGAUGAAAGGCGCUUCGGCGUCGCCUGGGGAUGGCUUUGCGGUGCAUUAGCUAGUUGGUGGGGGAAUGGCCCACCAAGGCGACGAUGCAUAGGCGACCUGAGAGGGUGAUCGGCCACACUGGGACGGAGACACGGCCCAGACUCCUACGGGAGGCAGCAGUAGGGAAUCUUCCACAAUGGACGAAAGUCUGAUGGAGCAACGCCGCGUGAACGAUGAAGGCCUUCGGGUCGUAAAGUUCUGUUGUAAGGGAAGAACAAGUGCCGCAGGCAAUGGCGGCACCUUGACGGUACCUUGCGAGAAAGCCACGGCUAACUACGUGCCAGCCGCCGCGGUAA
rnacentral:rRNA from 1 species